CCUUUCCAUUCCGAACAGGGAAGUUAAGCCCGUUUGCGCCGAUGGUACUGCCACACCAGGUGGGAGAGUAGGUCGCCGCCUUCC
rnacentral:rRNA from 1 species